rnacentral:rRNA from 3 species
CGACCCCAGGUCAGGCGGGGUUACCCGCUGAAUUUAAGCAUAUCAAUAAGCGGAGGAAAAGAA